AGAGUAAUAAUAUUUUGCAAAGCUUCCUAUCAACUUCAAAGUGAACUGGUUAGCCGUUGGAUGAUUUGAAGACGUAGAGAACACACGUUGGGUGCAGUGUACCAUUGAAUUUGAUGUAGACCAUCCAAGCUUAUCCUCCUUUACUCCCUAGAAGGCAUACUCUACUCAAGAGCAGUCCAAAAAUACAUGUACACAACCAAAACUUCUUGAUGACAGUAUGCACGAAGUGGAUUUAGUGGGGGUUCUGUGAUGAAAUCAACAUGAUAGAAAACAUGGGAUUUGAUGUUUACACGAUUACUUGCCUGCAAAGUAGGGGCAAGAUUAGUGGGAGAUUAACACAAGUAGGGUUGGGGACAUGAAUCACCAUGCUGCCAAUCAAUCAGAUCGAUUUGGAAGGUUCUCGAACCCGUCCAUACCUAAUUACGCAGCUACCGUGAGAUCCGUGCUUCCUUGACUGGAGACGACGAUGAACCUUCCAGAUCAGGGAGGAUAUGGGUCAUUUUCUUCCAGAUCGAUUGCAGCACGAUGAACCUUCUUCAAGUCCACGACAGGAAAAUGAUAGAGGAGAGGAGACAUGUAGAAGCGGGGGAAGAGGAAAGGCGGCGAU
rnacentral:lncRNA from 1 species